CUGGGACAAGCCCUGGAAACGGGGUCUAAUACCGGAUACGACUCGGGAAGGCAUCUUCUCGGGUGGAAAGCUCCGGCGGUGAAGGAUGAGCCCGCGGCCUAUCAGCUUGUUGGUGAGGUAAUGGCUCACCAAGGCGACGACGGGUAGCCGGCCUGAGAGGGCGACCGGCCACACUGGGACUGAGACACGGCCCAGACUCCUACGGGAGGCAGCAGUGGGGAAUAUUGCACAAUGGGCGAAAGCCUGAUGCAGCGACGCCGCGUGAGGGAUGACGGCCUUCGGGUUGUAAACCUCUUUCAGCAGGGAAGAAGCGAAAGUGACGGUACCUGCAGAAGAAGCGCCGGCUAACUACGUGCCAGC
rnacentral:rRNA from 1 species